CGUGCGAUCGCGCGCGCUCGCGCGCGCGAUCACGAAGCCCUGACGAGUAGGAGGGUCGCGGCGGUGAGCGCAGAAGGGCUGGCCGCGAGGCCGUCUGGAGCCGCCGUCGGUGCAGAUCUUGGUGGUAGUAGCAAAUACUCCAGCGAGGCCCUGGAGGACUGACGUGGAGAAGGGUUUCGUGUGAACAGCCGUUGCACACGAGUCAGUCGAUCCUAAGCCCUAGGCGAAAGCCGAUGUCGAUGCGGUGUAGCUUAAUUAUGGAUAUGCGACGACGGGGAGGAGAGUAAACGCGCGUGUGUCUCUCKCUCGCUCGCUCGCUUAUUUUUACGCGAAACCAAACACCCGUCGGGCGAAAGGGAAUCCGGUUCCUAUUCCGGAACCUGG
rnacentral:rRNA from 1 species